AUGUACAUUCCUACAGCAUAGGGUUAAUGCAUCCCAUUAGAACUCUCCAGUUAAGCACGAUCAGGCUAGAGUAGCACUGGGAUGGGUGACCACCUGGGAAGUCCUAGUAUUUUACAUG
rnacentral:rRNA from 1 species